UGUCUUGUAGUAUAUACCACCCAAUUACUGUAAACUGCAACUUUACUGAAGCAAAAGCCAAGACAU
rnacentral:tRNA from 1 species